rnacentral:rRNA from 1 species
AGAGUUUGAUCGUGGCUCAGGAUGAACGCUAGCGGCGCGCCUAAUGCAUGCAAGUCGAGCGGUACACCUUCGGGUGUAUAGCGGCAAACGGGUGAGUAACACGUAGGUAACUUGCCCCGAAGUUCGGGAUAACGCCUGGAAACGGGUGCUAAUACCGGAUGGACCUGACAGGGGAAGGGCCUGUUAGGGAAAACUGAGGUGCUUCGGGAGAGGCCUGCGGCCCAUCAGCUAGUUGGUAGGGUAAAGGCCUACCAAGGCGAUGACGGGUAGGGGGCGUGAGAGCGCGACCCUCCACAAUGGGACUGAGACACGGCCCAUACUCCUACGGGAGGCAGCAGCAGGGAAUAUUGCGCAAUGGGCGAAAGCCUGACGCAGCGACGCCGCGUGGGUGAAGAAGGCCUUCGGGUUGUAAAACCCUUUUCUGGAGGAAGAGAGAGGACGGUACUCCAGGAAUAAGCGUCGGCUAACUACGUGCCAGCAGCCGCGGUAACACGUAGGACGCGAGCGUUAUCCGGAUUCACUGGGCGUAAAGCGCUUGUAGGCGGCUUGGUAAGUUGGACGUGAAAGCCCUGAGCUUAACUCGGGGAGGCCGUUCAAUACUGCUGAGCUCGAGGACGGCAGAGGAGAGUGGAAUUCCCGGUGUAGCGGUAAAAUGCAUAGAUAUCGGGAGGAACACCAGUGGCGAAGGCGACUCUCUGGGCCGGACCUGACGCUGAGAAGCGAAAGCUAGGGGAGCAAACAGGAUUAGAGACCCUGGUAGUCCUAGCCCUAAACGAUGGGUGCUAGGUGUGGGGGUGAACAACCUCCGUGCCGGAGCAAACGCGAUAAGCACCCCGCCUGGGGACUACGGCCGCAAGGCUAAAACUCAAACGAAUUGACGGGUCCCCGCACAAGCAGCGGAGCGUGUGGUUCAAUUCGAUCUACACGAAGAACCUUACCUGGGUUUGACAUACAGGUGGUAGCGAGCCGAAAGGUGAGCGACCCGCAAGGGAGCCUGAACAGGUGCUGCAUGGCUGUCGUCAGCUCGUGCCGUGAGGUGUCGGGUUAAGUCCCGUAACGAGCGCAACCCUCGCCCUUAGUUACAAGUGUCUAAGGGGACCGCCGGCGAUAAGUCGGAGGAAGGUGGGGAUGACGUCAAGUCAGCAUGGCCCUUUGAUGCCCAGGGCUACACACACGCUACAAUGGUCGGUACAAAGGGGAGCGAGACCGUGAGGUGGAGCGAAUCCCAGCAAAGCCGAUCGUAGUUCGGAUUGGAGGCUGCAACCCGCCUCCAUGAAGCCGGAGUUGCUAGUAACCGCGCGUCAGCAUAGUGCGGUGAAUACGUUCCCGGGGAUUGUACACACCGCCCGUCACGUCAUGGGAGUCGGCAAUACCUGAAGCCGGUAGCUUAGCCGAAAGGGGAGCGCCGUCGAGGGUAGGGCUGGCGACUGGGACGAAGUCGUAACAAGGUA